CAGCCGCCGCGGUAAUUCGUAGGUCCCGAGCGUUGUCCGGAUUUAUUGGGCGUAAAGGGAGCGCAGGCGGUUUAGUAAGUCUGAAGUUAAAGGCAUUGGCUCAACCAAUGUAUGCUUUGGAAACUGUUAGACUUGAGUGCAGAAGGGGAGAGUGGAAUUCCAUGUGUAGCGGUGAAAUGCGUAGAUAUAUGGAGGAACACCGGUGGCGAAAGCGGCUCUCUGGUCUGUCACUGACGCUGAGGCUCGAAAGCGUGGGUAGCGAACAGGAUUAGAUACCCCAGUAGUCCCUGUCUCUUAUACC
rnacentral:rRNA from 1 species